GUAAGCAGCAGUGUGUGUUCCUGAGGAAACAAAAGCAUGGUGUCUGUGUAAAUUUUGUCCUCCAUCAGAGAUCUGCUGUAAUCCACAAGAUAAGUUCAGAAGCAACUUAAUCCGGUUAUCCUGUCUCUUAAAGACGAGGCGGCUGAGAGAAGUUGUCCAGACCGAAUGGAGAAGAUGAUGACAGAGAGGAGACGUCCCCUGAAGGCCCUGGAUGUGACAGGCCAAGCAACAACAACAGGCGUGUGAGAAGAAGAGAAACUUCAGAGAGCUGCAGCGUUAGCUGCGAUCCCUGCAAGACCUUCAUCUGUGCGGCUGGAGCGUUAGAGAGGAACUGGAGGAGAUCAAAAAGAGCCUAAAAAGGCAUUUUGAGGAGGAAUCCAAGCAAAUCAUCUUCCAUUCCAAGGUGAAGAACCUGGAGAAUGGUGAGAAAUGCAACUCGUUCUUUUACAGGAAACUCCACACUGGCCACACGCCCCUGAAUGAACUUCGGGACAAGGACGACAACAUGCAAUCAGGGAACGAGGAAGUGAAGGGAGUCGUCAAAGACUAGUACAGCGACCAUUACUCCAUGAAGAACACCGACCUGACAGCCGAAGAUAAAUUCCUGUCAGGUAUCACUAACCAUUUUGAUCCUGCAGGUGUGGAGGCAAUGGAAGACCCUCUGACGGUGGGAGAGCUGCUCUCUGCCGCUAGAUCCUUUAAGUCCGGCAGGACCCCGAGCAGUGACGGUCUUCCAGCAGAGAACUAUGUAGCGCUGGGGGAUCUGAUCUGUCCAGACCUGCUGGAACUCUAUGAGGAGAUGGUGGUGGAGGGUAGAAUGCCCCCAUCGUUGAGGGAAGGGGAAGAGAUGUGAUCUGAAAAACUGGCGUCCCAUCUCUCUCCUAAACCUGGACUACAAGAUCCUCGCCAAGGUACUGGCCAACCAGCUGAAUAUUGUCAUCGGCAGCAUCGUCCACCCGGAUCAGACCUGCGGCAUUCCUGGCCGCAAGAUCGCAAAUAUUCUUGCUCUCAUGAGAGACAUGGUACAAUACAUCAAAGAUGGCCGUGUACACGCGGCCCUGGUCAGCCUUGAUCAGGAGAAGGCCUUUGAACAAGUCUCUCAUGAAUUCAUGGGCAAGGCGUUGCACAAGCUGGGUCUGGGCAGGAGGUUCUGUUCGUUUGUUAACCUGAUGUACCUUGAUAUUUAAAGCACGGUGUUGGUGAACGGCUGGAAGACUGACCCUUUUUCUGUCCUCUCUGGGGUCAGACAAGGCUGCCCUCUAUCACCCCUCCUUUUUGUUUGUGUUAUAGAGUUCUUUGCGGAGUCUAUCCGGCAGAAUGGAGAGAUCAGAGGGAUCACUGUACCAGGAACAGGAUACUACAAGGUCAAGUGCUUGCUGUACAUGCACGACGUGACCAUCUUCUGCGCUGGCCGGCGUUUGGUGACUGCACUCGUCCAGACCUGCGAGGAGUUCGGACAAGCUUCAGGGGCUAAAGUCAACUGCGGGAAGUCAGAAGCCAUGCACUUCGGGGAGUGACAACUGGCUUCCUCUGCCCCCUUCCCAUUUACCAUCAAAUCAGACUUCAUCCAGAUCCUGCGAGUCUGGUUCGGAAAGGAAGGCGCAGCCCUCAAAUCUUGAAAAGACCGCUUGACCAAGGUGAACCAAAGGAUUGGACUAUAGAGCCUUGGGCAGCUCACUAUUGAGGGCAAAGCAUUCUUUCUGCGUAACAAAGUUCUGCCUGUACUACAGUACACAGCACAGGCAUAGCCCAUUCUUGCCACUGUUUCUAGGGCCAUCACCAGGACAGUGUUUCCCUUUGUUUGGGGCUCCAAAAUAGACAGAGUAAAGCGAGCCAUCAUGUACAAAGCGCCCCGCAAGGGUGGGAAGGGCAUUCCGGACCUGCCCAUUUUACUGUGGAUUGCCUUUGUUUGUGACAGCGUUCACGGGCUCUGACAACUGCAAACGGCUCUGCGGGCAAGGCCAUGUCUCACUUCUUUCUCCUGCCCCACUGGAGGGGUCUAGGUUGCGACAAGUGGGACAGCUCCAUCCCUUACAACUAGCACGCUCCCUGGUAUUACGGAGAUGUUGUCAGGUUUGAGGGAGCAUCAACUGGAGGGCCACGACAAUCCACAAGAUAAUCAGAGCGAAGGACUUGGUGGAGUCAAUUCCAGGGCUCCCUGAUGACACCGCAGAGACAGUAUGGACUAAUGUGUCUUCAGACAGGUUAACCAAAGGGCACAAGGACUUGUCAUGAAUGGCCAUCCUGGGAGGCUUGCCUAUACGGUCAUUAAUGCACGCCCGCAACCUAUGCAAAACCCGGAACUGCCCCAGGUGCCACUUCAGAGGAAACAUCUUAUCACCUGUUCUGGGUGUGAUCCUUUGCGCAGGGCCUGUUGGAUGCCCUGGAACAUGAACUCAAAGACUCUUUCCCCAGGAUCAGCCUGCAACACACCUCGGUGUUGUACGGACUAUUUCCUGGGAUUCAUACUGUUGAGGCCAUGCGCCUUAUGAACUGUUUUAAGGAUGCUAUAUGGCUUACCAGGAACCGACUCAUCCUCAGGAGGGAGAGCAUGUCCGUCCUGGACUGCCGCAGGUUUACCCACAGCCUGUUGCGGGAUUACAACAUUUUGGACGUCGACGAAGAAGAGGACUAAACCCCUCUCCUUCCCCCUCCCCCCCCUUUUGUGUCUGUCCUUUCAAUAAAGCUUGGGGCAUGUGAUUCCCCCCUCCCCUCAUCACUGUCUAAAUGCUUUGUUGAAUGGUAAGUGAUUAAAUAGGAAUGCUAGUGUAGCAUGCAUUGUGAUGUAUAGUGUAGGUUAGCCUGGCGUCACAUAACAAUACCAUGCUAUGAAAGACGAUUGCAAGUAUUUAUUAAGUGCUGCCUCGUGGCCUGGGCUGCUUCGCAGCACUAAGUAUGUAUGUUUGACGAUUUUAUUAUAA